GGUUAAGCGACUAAGCGUACACGGUGGAUGCCCUGGCAGUCAGAGGCGAUGAAGGACGUGCUAAUCUGCGAUAAGCGUCGGUGAGGUGAUAUGAACCGUUAUAACCGGCGAUUUCCGAAUGGGGAAACCCAGUGUGUUUCGACACACUAUCAUUAACUGAAUCCAUAGGUUAAUGAGGCGAACCGGGGGAACUGAAACAUCUAAGUACCCCGAGGAAAAGAAAUCAACCGAGAUUCCCCCAGUAGCGGCGAGCGAACGGGGAGCAGCCCAGAGCCUGAAUCAGUGUGUGUGUUAGUGGAAGCGUCUGGAAAGGCGCGCGAUACAGGGUGACAGCCCCGUACACAAAAAUGCACAUACUGUGAGCUCGAUGAGUAGGGCGGGACACGUGGUAUCCUGUCUGAAUAUGGGGGGACCAUCCUCCAAGGCUAAAUACUCCUGACUGACCGAUAGUGAACCAGUACCGUGAGGGAAAGGCGAAAAGAACCCCGGCGAGGGGAGUGAAAAAGAACCUGAAACCGUGUACGUACAAGCAGUGGGAGCCUCUUAAUGGGGUGACUGCGUACCUUUUGUAUAAUGGGUCAGCGACUUAUAUUCUGUAGCAAGGUUAACCGAAUAGGGGAGCCGAAGGGAAACCGAGUCUUAACUGGGCGUUAAGUUGCAGGGUAUAGACCCGAAACCCGGUGAUCUAGCCAUGGGCAGGUUGAAGGUUGGGUAACACUAACUGGAGGACCGAACCGACUAAUGUUGAAAAAUUAGCGGAUGACUUGUGGCUGGGGGUGAAAGGCCAAUCAAACCGGGAGAUAGCUGGUUCUCCCCGAAAGCUAUUUAGGUAGCGCCUCGUGAAUUCAUCUCCGGGGGUAGAGCACUGUUUCGGCAAGGGGGUCAUCCCGACUUACCAACCCGAUGCAAACUGCGAAUACCGGAGAAUGUUAUCACGGGAGACACACGGCGGGUGCUAACGUCCGUCGUGAAGAGGGAAACAACCCAGACCGCCAGCUAAGGUCCCAAAGUCAUGGUUAAGUGGGAAACGAUGUGGGAAGGCCCAGACAGCCAGGAUGUUGGCUUAGAAGCAGCCAUCAUUUAAAGAAAGCGUAAUAGCUCACUGGUCGAGUCGGCCUGCGCGGAAGAUGUAACGGGGCUAAACCAUGCACCGAAGCUGCGGCAGCGACACUGUGUGUUGUUGGGUAGGGGAGCGUUCUGUAAGCCUGUGAAGGUGUACUGUGAGGUAUGCUGGAGGUAUCAGAAGUGCGAAUGCUGACAUAAGUAACGAUAAAGCGGGUGAAAAGCCCGCUCGCCGGAAGACCAAGGGUUCCUGUCCAACGUUAAUCGGGGCAGGGUGAGUCGACCCCUAAGGCGAGGCCGAAAGGCGUAGUCGAUGGGAAACAGGUUAAUAUUCCUGUACUUGGUGUUACUGCGAAGGGGGGACGGAGAAGGCUAUGUUGGCCGGGCGACGGUUGUCCCGGUUUAAGCGUGUAGGCUGGUUUUCCAGGCAAAUCCGGAAAACUAAGGCUGAGGCGUGAUGACGAGGCACUACGGUGCUGAAGCAACAAAUGCCCUGCUUCCAGGAAAAGCCUCUAAGCAUCAGGUAACAUCAAAUCGUACCCCAAACCGACACAGGUGGUCAGGUAGAGAAUACCAAGGCGCUUGAGAGAACUCGGGUGAAGGAACUAGGCAAAAUGGUGCCGUAACUUCGGGAGAAGGCACGCUGAUAUGUAGGUGAAGUCCCUCGCGGAUGGAGCUGAAAUCAGUCGAAGAUACCAGCUGGCUGCAACUGUUUAUUAAAAACACAGCACUGUGCAAACACGAAAGUGGACGUAUACGGUGUGACGCCUGCCCGGUGCCGGAAGGUUAAUUGAUGGGGUUAGCGGUAACGCGAAGCUCUUGAUCGAAGCCCCGGUAAACGGCGGCCGUAACUAUAACGGUCCUAAGGUAGCGAAAUUCCUUGUCGGGUAAGUUCCGACCUGCACGAAUGGCGUAAUGAUGGCCAGGCUGUCUCCACCCGAGACUCAGUGAAAUUGAACUCGCUGUGAAGAUGCAGUGUACCCGCGGCAAGACGGAAAGACCCCGUGAACCUUUACUAUAGCUUGACACUGAACAUUGAGCCUUGAUGUGUAGGAUAGGUGGGAGGCUUUGAAGUGUGGACGCCAGUCUGCAUGGAGCCGGCCUUGAAAUACCACCCUUUAAUGUUUGAUGUUCUAACGUUGGCCCCUGAUCGGGGUUGCGGACAGUGUCUGGUGGGUAGUUUGACUGGGGCGGUCUCCUCCUAAAGAGUAACGGAGGAGCACGAAGGUUGGCUAAUCCUGGUCGGACAUCAGGAGGUUAGUGCAAUGGCAUAAGCCAGCUUGACUGCGAGCGUGACGGCGCGAGCAGGUGCGAAAGCAGGUCAUAGUGAUCCGGUGGUUCUGAAUGGAAGGGCCAUCGCUCAACGGAUAAAAGGUACUCCGGGGAUAACAGGCUGAUACCGCCCAAGAGUUCAUAUCGACGGCGGUGUUUGGCACCUCGAUGUCGGCUCAUCACAUCCUGGGGCUGAAGUAGGUCCCAAGGGUAUGGCUGUUCGCCAUUUAAAGUGGUACGCGAGCUGGGUUUAGAACGUCGUGAGACAGUUCGGUCCCUAUCUGCCGUGGGCGCUGGAGAACUGAGGGGGGCUGCUCCUAGUACGAGAGGACCGGAGUGGACGCAUCACUGGUGUUCGGGUUGUCAUGCCAAUGGCACUGCCCGGUAGCUAAAUGCGGAAGAGAUAAGUGCUGAAAGCAUCUAAGCACGAAACUUGCCCCGAGAUGAGUUCUCCCUGACUCCUUGAGAGUCCUGAAGGAACGUUGAAGACGACGACGUUGAUAGGCCGGGUGUGUAAGCGCAGCGAUGCGUUGAGCUAACCGGUACUAAUGAACCGUGAGGCUUAACCUU
rnacentral:rRNA from 1 species